UCAUAGAUAGAUAGGAGAAAAAGGCGGAGUCCCCAGCUUAAUGAUUAGAAGCCUAAGUACGCAGGAAGCAUUGUAGUCUGUUAGGCGGUGUUCCAAUCUUUUGAUCGGUGAUUUAAGUAAGUAUUAUGGGCUAUAGUCUUGUUAGGCACCGAGGACAUUAUGACUUAUGAGUUGUUGCCUUGUUAUCAGUGGGUUCAAUUGAUA
rnacentral:lncRNA from 1 species